CUUGCUGCGCAUCGACAAUUUCUCAUGCAUUCCAUUUCAGUUGUUGCAUCAAGUUUUACUUGGUCGUUGUGUGUUUCCUGUGCUAAAUACCUAACAUGAAGGCAUUCCAUUUGAUGUGAAUACUAUAUCCAAUCCACCUUUUGAUGCCCCCAAGUUGAGUGCGUUUUGUUGGUGGACCUCAAAUCAUGCAUUUUGGUUCACAUCCUUUGCCUGCUUGUUCAUGCUUUGGUUGUUGACCCAUGAUGCUGUGUUUGAUUUCUUGGAUAUUGAAAAUUGUGAGGGAAUGGGUCUUUGGCCUUUAAUAACCCCAAAUUAUGCGUUCGACGCUAUAAGCGAACGACUGUCGUGUCUGUGUUGGACGAGUCCUUUGGACUUGGCUCAUACG
rnacentral:misc_RNA from 1 species